rnacentral:rRNA from 1 species
UACGAAGGGGGCUAGCGUUGUUCGGAAUUACUGGGCGUAAAGCGCACGUAGGCGGCUUGGUCAGUUAGGGGUGAAAUCCCCGGGCUUAACCUGGGAACUGCGCUUGUAACUAGCAGGCUAGAGUGUGGCAGAGGGGGGUGGAAUUCCCGGUGUAGCGGUGAAAUGCGUAGAUAUCGGGAGGAACAUCAGUGGCGAAGGCGACCACCUGGACCUACACUGACGCUGAGGUGCGAAAGCGUGGGUGGCAAACAGG